UGAUUUGGAGUAAAGUAACCUGGUUUGUAGUUUUGCUACCAUCAUUGCCAAGCCUGUAAAGCGCUGGCUGCUCUCAACACCACCCCAACCCAAAGCUGCGGUCACUCACCCUAUUGCAUGUAGUACAAGAACUAGCAGCGGAUGUCGCAAUUAAAACGCUGGAUAUCAGCGCUAACGAGACAGUGACAAUCCUAGCGCUGAUGAGUGCUGAGGGAGCAGCAAGGCGCAGCCUGGAAACAGCCCCGAGCACCUUCGUUACAGGGGUUUCGGAACGGAGCAGAGCUACCGCCAGGGCCCAGUGCGAUAUCAAGCCUGAUGGAUGUAUGUGGCUCUUUGCAGGCCUGAGUGGGAUGGAUUACAGCAGAGGGAGAUGGGGACGAGGUGGAAGAGGAGGCUGAAGACCACCACCACUGGUAUGAAUAUUUGAUCAACUCCCAUGGACCUGUUUUACCAAUACAUGAACUAUGUGAAGCAACUUCUUUUUGUAUGGAAAAAUGAGUCUACCACAACCAACACUUACAACACCAGCUUACAUUUCUGGGGAAAAAUAAGCCUGUCUGCAGUAGAGAAGAACAAAGCAAAGGUCAACAGAAAGGAGCUGGUGAAUCAACAUGAGCAAGGAUCUCCCUCACCUUGAAUCAUCUGAAAACCAUGGAACUGCCUCAGUGGUACCAAUGGAGAAAGGCAACGCUCCUCUGCACGUGAGGGCUGUUUGGCUGCCAGGUCCUUCGGACUGCGGUUCUUGCAGACACUGGGAGGACACAGCGCUGAAAGGCGUCUCGGGGACAGGAUCCUCCCAGCCUGAAGGGCUCCCAACAGCUCUCAACUUCCCGGCAGCAGCACAAGCCCACGACUUCCCACCCGGCCCACGCCAGGCAGAGGUCAGCUGCUUCUCUUCCUUUUGGCAGUCACGUCUCCUCCGUCUCAUACCUACAGACCAGCCUCCCCUCUGCAGGCUAAACAACCCCAAUUCACUUGAUAUUUCCUCAUAAGCCGUACCUUCCCCCUUCCGCCAACCAUUUUAUUUGCUCUCUUCAGCACCAAAAAUUGGUCACAGAAAUCCAGAGCUGACCUUCCCACAGCCGAGACAAGCAGACAACUCCCUGCGUUGUUUGCAGGCUAUCUUCCUAUGGAGGAAUGGUGUUUGCCCCCUUUCCUUUCAAAACCACGCAAUUUCUGCCCCAUAUUCAACUGGUGACUGUAAUCCAACCCAUCUUCUACCAAACUGUCUUUUUGGAGUGGGACGUUUAUUCUGAAGUAAUCUCAGUAAACCCAUGACAGUUGAUACACCUGGCUUUCUUCUAAGUGCUUGCCAAAAACUAAUUUGUUGCAGGAUCUUUCUGGGACCUGAAGGCUGGGCAUCACCUGGCUCUUCCUUGCCCUCUCACACAGGCUCAGCAGCAUCCGUUUCUUUCCCAGCCUCCCAGGAGCUCCCGCCUUCCGCAGCUUCCCACAGCUCUGUGCUUGCUGCAGCUGCGAUACACCCUGAGGUGCAUCUUGCCCCUUUGUCAUGGGUAUGAAAUUAUUAGCCAAUUGAUUGCAGUUAACCUUUUUACUAAGGGAAGCAAAAAAACCAUUUAACGUGGAUGCAAGCAAAAGGCAUUAAGCAUAAUCAGUUAAUAGCUUUCCCUCUCUACUGAUAAUGGAUUACACAUUACCUGUUUGUCUCCUUAUUACUGGUGUUCCUACAGAAGCUAACAAGAAGUCAUGCUAUGACCAGAGAUAGAAGGUAUCUCACUUUGAGCCUUUCUUUUCCUGAUUUCCCUAUGCUUUAGAGUUGCACUCAGCAAUCUUUUCUCACUUGUCUUUCUCUGUGCCCCCUUGAGCUCGGGUCAAUGAAGAUCUUGGUAAUUAGCUAAGCUAACCUCUUUCUAAACUUCUUAUUCCUCCUCCUCUCUGGGACAGUCGGCAGUUGUGCUCUUAAGAGUAUUUCCUUAAAGAAACAGCCAUCUAUUCCAUUUCCAACUUGAUUGCCUCCCCUGAGAUCUUACUAUCAGUUGCCUAAUUCCAUCAUGGCAUUGUCCCUUGCAUCCUGUCCGCUCCUUGGCUGAAAACAAAGAUGAAGAGAAUCUCCCCUCCCAUAACUGCCUUUUCUAUUAAAAAUAGGUCCCGCAUAUUCCACCGCUUUCCCAGAGACAAUCUGUGCUUUACUCAGUCAAUCUCUUUGGGAUUGGCUACAUUCUAUCUCUUCAUAGGUUAAAGCUCAUAGCUUUUUAUCCUUGUGUACUGGUUUUAGCAGAGAUAUUCAUACGUACGAUGGUUUGGAUUUGUGAUGAAAACGGUGUUGUUAACACAGCAAUGUUUUAGCUAUUGCUGAGCACUGCUUACACCGCGUAAAGGCCUUUUCUGUUUCCCACACUGCCCUGCCGGCGUGCAGGCUGGGGGUGUGCAAAACAUUGGGAAGCAACACAGCCGGGACAGCUGAUCCCAACUGAGCAAAGGGAUACCCUGUACCAUAUGGAGUUAUGCUCAGCAAUAAAACUGGGUGGCGUGGGGGGGAAGGGGGAGGUUGGCCAGGGCUGCCAUUGCUCGGGAACUAGCUGGGCAUCGGUUGGUUGGUGGUGAGCAACUGGGGGGUUUUUGCAUCACUUGUUCUUCUUGGCUUUGGUUUUUUU